CCCCUCUCAGGGUCACACCUGGAGAGUUUGCAGUACUCCACCAGACUUGGCUAUAGGAGGGAGAGUCAAGCAGCCUACCCAUUUCAUUCCUAGCUUGGGCAGUGGCUAGCGAGUGGAAAGCCAUCUGCCACAAGU